UCAAGCGUUUAAGGGCGUGUGGCGGAUGCCUUGGCACUGAAAGCCGAUGAAGGACGUGAUAUACUGCGAUAAGUUUCGGGGAGCUGUAUGUAAGUUUUGAUCCGAAAAUUUCCGAAUGGGGAAACCCACCACUUUAUGUGGUACUUUAAACUGAAUACAUAGGUUUAAAGAGACAACCUGGAGAACUGAAACAUCUAAGUAACCAGAGGAAAAGAAAUCAAUUGAGAUUCCGUUAGUAGUGGCGAGCGAACGCGGACUAGGCCAGUAGUUUUGUUAAAAAAAUUUGAAUAGUUUGGAAAUGCUAACCAUAGAGGGUGAUAGUCCCGUAUGAGUAAUGUUUAACAAAAUUCUUGAGUAAAGCGGGACACGUGAAAUCCUGCUCGAAUAUAGGGGGACCACCCUCUAAGCCUAAAUACUCUUCAGUGACCGAUAGUGAACUAGUACCGUGAGGGAAAGGUGAAAAGAACCCCUAUUAGGGGAGUGAAAUAGAACCUGAAACUGCAUGCCUACAAUCAGUCGAAGCUCUUUUUAGAGUGACGGCGUACCUUUUGUAUAAUGGGUCAGUGACUUAAUUUAUAAAGCAAGCUUAAGCCAUCUAGGUGUAGGCGCAGCGAAAGCAAGUCUUAAUAGGGCGAUUAGUUUAAUGAAUUAGACCCGAAAACGAAUGAGCUUACCAUGAGCAGGUUGAAAGUUGGGUAACACCAACCGGAGGACCGAACCAGUUGACGUUGAAAAGUCUUUGGAUGACUUGUGGUAAGGGGUGAAAGGCCAACCAAAUUCGUAGAUAGCUGGUUUUCCGCGAAAACUAUUUAGGUAGUGCGUUGAAUAAAUAGAUGUUUAGAGGUAGAGCACUAAAUGGGCUAGGGGGAAGAGAUUCUUACCAAACCUAAUAAAACUCCGAAUGCUAGACAUUGUUCUUCAACAGACAGACUGUGGGUGCUAAGGUCCAUGGUCGAGAGGGAAAGAGCCCAGACCACCAGAUAAGGUCCCCAAAUUAUGAUUAAGUGUGAAAGGAUGUGGAAAUUCCUUAACAGCCGGGAGGUUGGCUUAGAAGCAGCCAUCCUUUAAAGAUAGCGUAACAGCUCACCGGUCUAAUAGAGUUUCUGCGCCGAAGAUGUAACGGGGCUAAAAUCAUAUACCGAAUCUGUGGGUUUAUAAAAUUUUCGAAUUUUAUAAGCGGUAGCGGAACGUUCUGUAAGCCUGUGAAGGGAUACCCGUGAGGGAUCCUGGAGGUAUCAGAAGUGCGAAUGCUGACAUAAGUAACGAUAAAAGAAGUGAAAAACUUCUUCGCCGAAAAUCCAAGGGUUUCUGCGCAAGGUUAAUCCGCGCAGAGUUAGUCGGCACCUAAGGCGAGGGCGAAAGCCGUAGUCGAUGGAAAUAAGGUUAAUAUUCCUUAACCAGAUGGUAGUGACGGAUCUUGUAAGUUGUGUACUCUUAAUGGAUUGAGUAUGCCGCGAAAAGGUUCCAAGAAAUAGCUCCAUCAUUAGACCGUACCCUAAACCGACACAGGUGGAUUAAUAGAGUAUAUUUAGGCGCUUGAGAGAAUGAUGUUGAAGGAACUCGGCAAAAUGCUUCCGUAACUUCGGGAUAAGGAAGACCUGUUUUUAGGCAACUAGAGAUGGGUGGCACAAGCCAGGGAGAAGCGACUGUUUAUCAAAAACACAGGGCUCUGCUAACACGUAAGUGGAUGUAUAGGGUCUGACGCCUGCCCGGUGCUGGAAGGUUAAUGCGGUUGGUGCAAGCUAACUUCUGAAGCCCCAGUAAACGGCGGCCGUAACUAUAACGGUCCUAAGGUAGCGAAAUUCCUUGUCGGGU
rnacentral:rRNA from 1 species